rnacentral:rRNA from 1 species
GACGAACGCUGGCGGUGUGCUUAACACAUGCAAGUCGAACGGUAAGGCCCUUUCGGGGGUCCACGAGUGGCGAACGGGUGAGUAACACGUGAGUAACCUGCCCUCAUCUCUGGGAUAACAGUCGGAAACGGUUGCUAAUACUGGAUAUGAGCUUGCAAGGCAUCUUGUGGGUUGGAAAGAUUUUUUUGGUUGGGGAUGGACUCGCGGCCUAUCAGCUUGUUGGUGAGGUAGUGGCUCACCAAGGCUUCGACGGGUAGCCGGCCUGAGAGGGCGACCGGCCACAUUGGGACUGAGAUACGGCCCAAACUCCUACGGGAGGCAGCAGUGGGGAAUAUUGUACAAUGGACGGAAGUCUGAUGCAGCAACGCCGCGGGCGGGAUGACGGCCUUCGGGUUGUAAACCGCUUUCAAUUGUGACGAAGCUUUUUGUGACGGUAGCAGUAGAAGAAGCACCGGCUAACUACGUG